ensembl:lincRNA Gm43832 predicted gene 43832
GGUUCUGUGUAUGUAGGCCUAUGGGAAGUCUUUGAACCUUUAGUUCAAAUUUGCAAACAAACAAAAAAAAACAAGACACCCUAAAAAGUCAAAAGCAGAAGAAAGAAGGAGGAAGAAGAGGAAUAAGGAAGCGCAAGGGGAGAAAGGAUCAGAAUGAAGCCUACUCGAUAGACUCAGAGAACUAUGAGUCCUCCAGUGGAAGAAUAGAAGUAAAACACAGCUGGACAGCUCUGUGCUGAAGGCUGGCCUACGCCAUCUCACUUAACCCUUACCUCCAUGUCCCUGCGCUGUUACAUCCCAGCCAUCACUGUCAUCGUCCUCAUACAAAUGAGGGAAGCAGAGCCAGCAGCUUGUUCUCUGGGAGCUAUGGGGUGUGGAGUUUCAGACAUUCCAGCCCAUCCAGGUGGACCGUGAUGAUUUAACUUCAAAGCAAGAGUGUAGUUGGUGCCCACUGCACUAAGCAGAUAUGGUGGAUCGGAACCAUUGCCUUCCCUCAGCAUGCAGACUGACCCGGAAAGAAUCUUGUAUUCGUUAGGCUCAAAGGGUGCUGUGGCCUUGGAGGAAGCAUGUCUCUCUCUUUUCCUCCUGCCUGCCGAUCUGGAUGUAGAAUUCUCAGUUCCUUCUCCAGCACCAUGUCUGCCUGUGAUGAUAAUGAACUAAACCUGAACUGUAAGC